rnacentral:rRNA from 1 species
AACGAACGCUGGCGGCGCGCCUAAUACAUGCAAGUCGAGCGAGAAGGUGUAGCAAUACACUUGUAAAGCGGCGAACGGGUGAGGAAUACAUGGGUAAUCUACCAUCGAGUGGGGAAUAACCAACCGAAAGGUUGGCUAAUACCGCGUACGCCUCCGAAUCUUCGGGUUCGGAGGGAAAGCUGCACUGUGAGUGUAGCGCUCUUUGAUGAGCUCAUGUCCUAUCAGCUUGUUGGUAGGGUAACGGCCUACCAAGGCUUUGACGGGUAGCUGGUCUGAGAGGACGAUCAGCCACACUGGCACUGCGACACGGGCCAGACUCCUACGGGAGGCAGCAGUAAGGAAUAUUGCGCAAUGGGCGAAAGCCUGACGCAGCGACGCCGCGUGGGGGAUGAAGGUCUUCGGAUUGUAAACCCCUUUCGGGAGGGAAGAUGGAGCGAGCAAUCGUUCGGACGGUACCUCCAGAAGCAGCCA